GGAAAAUAUUCAAAUUUUAAAGUAAAUUUGGAUUUUAUUAGAUAAAUACUUACCAUCAUAAAUUCUGAGUGUAACCCCAAUUGCGUCAUAGGUCAGAUGGAAAAUCCCUACUAAAAAUAAACGUACUCUCACUGGUCCGGACAUAUACCCCUGUUUGCCCAUAUUCUUCCAUUCAAUUUCCUCAAGACAGAAACAUAAGGAAAGGGGAU
rnacentral:lncRNA from 1 species